AGUUGUGAGUCGGGGCCGAACAGGGCCGAGACUCCUCCUUCUAAUCUGAGUCUAAACACAGAGAUCACAGCUUCUUUCCUCUUUCUACUCACAGUGACUCAACACUGCAGAUAUGACGCCUCUGUUCAUCUCAGUGCUGCUGGCUGCUCUGUGUCUUGAAGGCAGAGCACAACAAGACACUGUGCUGCAACCAGAAGGAGACGUGACUGCGACUGAAGGAGAAGCAGCAACACUUGGCUGUCGAUACGUCAGCAGCUCAGCAAGUGCAACUCUCCUCUGGUACAAACAGGAAGGAACCAACAGCCCAAAAUUCAUCCUGAGCCGCCUUCUAGUGGGAGAAGGAAACAAGGCAGACGACUUCAGAGAGAGAUUUUCAUCCACACUGAAUUCCACAUCAUUUCCUCUGAAGAUCCAGAAGCUGCAGCCGUCUGACUCUGCUGUGUACUACUGUGCUCUGCAGCCCACAGUGACAGGAAACUACACAACUCUGUACAAAAACCUGUGGAGCAAAGACAAUACUCCUCUUCCUCCACCAGAGGGAGUCACUCACUGUUAAACCUCAGUGGUUUGU